rnacentral:rRNA from 1 species
GUGAGGAAUCUUGGACAAUGGGGGAAACCCUGAUCCAGCGACGCCGCGUGGAGGACGAAGGUCUUCGGAUUGUAAACUCCUUUUCUAGGGGAAGAAUAAAUGACGGUACCCUGGGAAUAAGCCACGGCUAACUACGUGCCAGCAGCCGCGGUAAUACGUAGGUGGCGAGCGUUACUCGGAAUCACUAGGCGUAAAGCGCGGGUAGGCGGCCUAGCAAGUCUGUCGUGAAAGCUCUCGGCUUAACCGAGAGAGGUCGGCAGAUACUACUGGGCUUGAGUGUGGGAGAGGGUGCUGGAAUUCCCGGUGUAGCGGUGAAAUGCGUAGAGAUCGGGAGGAACACCAAUGGCGAAGGCAGGCACCUGGACCAAUACUGACGCUGAGCCGCGAAAGCUAGGGGAGCAAACAGG